rnacentral:rRNA from 1 species
GAUGAACGCUGGCGGCGUGCCUAAUACAUGCAAGUCGAGCGAAUGGAUUAAGAGCUUGCUCUUAUGAAGUUAGCCGCGGACGGGUGAGUAACACGUGGGUAACCUGCCCAUAAGACUGGCAUAACUCCGGACAACCGGGGCUAAUACCGGAUAAUCUUUUGAAUCGGCUGGUUCGAAAUUGAACGGCUGCCUCGGCCGUCGCUUAUGACUGGACCCGCGUCGCAUUAGCUAGUUGGUGAGGUAACGGCUCACCAAGGCAACGAGGCGUAGCCGACCUGAGAGGGUGAGCGGCGAGACUGGGACUGAGACAAGGCCCAGACGCCUACGGGAGGCAGCAGUAGGGAAUCUUCCGCAAUGGACGAAAGUCUGACGGAGCGACGCCGCGUGAGUGAUGAAGGCUUUCGGGUCGUAAAACUCUGUUGUUAGGGAAGAACAAGUGCUAGUUGAAUAAGCUGGCACCUUGACGGUACCUAACCAGAAAGCCACGGCUAACUACGUGCCAGCCGCCGCAGUAA